UGAUAACCCGGAGGAAGGUGGGGAUGACGUCAAGUCAUCAUGGCCUUUAUGGGGUGGGCUACACACGUGCUACAAUGGCGGUGACAGUGGGCAGCGAGGCAGCAAUGCCAAGCUAAUCUCAAAAAGCCGUCUCAGUUCGGAUUGGACUCUGCAACUCGAGUCCAUGAAGUCGGAAUCGCUAGUAAUCGCGGAUCAGCACGCCGCGGUGAAUACGUUCCCGGGCCUUGUACACACCGCCCGUCGCAACCAUGGGAGUUGGUCUUUCCCGAAGACGGUGCGCUAACCAGCAAUGGAGG
rnacentral:rRNA from 1 species